CCUACGGGUGGCUGCAGUGGGGAAUAUUGGACAAUGGGCGAAAGCCUGAUCCAGCCAUGCCGCGUGUGUGAAGAAGGCCUUCGGGUUGUAAAGCACUUUCAGUGGGGAAGAAAGCCUUGGGGCUAAUACCCUCGAGGAAGGACAUCACCCACAGAAGAAGCACCGGCUAACUCCGUGCCAGCAGCCGCGGUAAUACGGAGGGUGCGAGCGUUAAUCGGAAUUACUGGGCGUAAAGCGCGCGUAGGCGGUCUGAUAAGCCGGUUGUGAAAGCCCCGGGCUCAACCUGGGAACGGCAUCCGGAACUGUCAGGCUAGAGUGCAGGAGAGGAAGGUAGAAUUCCCGGUGUAGCGGUGAAAUGCGUAGAGAGCGGGAGGAAUACCAGUGGCGAAGGCGGUCUUCUGGACUGACACUGACGCUGAGGUGCGAAAGCGUGGGUAGCAAACAGGAUUAGAUACCCGAGUAGUC
rnacentral:rRNA from 1 species